rnacentral:rRNA from 1 species
CUACGGAGGCUCCAAGCGUUAUCCGGAAUCAUUGGGUUUAAAGGGUCCGCAGGCGGUCAAUUAAGUCAGAGGUGAAAGCCCAUCGCUCAACGAUGGAACUGCCUUUGAUACUGGUUGACUUGAGUUAUACGGAAGUAGAUAGAAUAAGUAGUGUAGCGGUGAAAUGCAUAGAUAUUACUUAGAAUACCGAUUGCGAAGGCAGUCUACUACGUAUAUACUGACGCUGAGGGACGAAAGCGUGGGGAGCAAACAGGAUUAGAAACCCCGGUAGUCC